GUUUCCUCGGGGCGCAGCAGUAGGGAAUAUUGCUCAAUGGGGGAAACCCUGAAGCAGCAACGCCGCGUGGAGGAUGAAGGUUUUCGGAUUGUAAACUCCUUUUGUUAGAGAAGAUAAUGACGGUAUCUAACGAAUAAGCACCGGCUAACUCCGUGCCAGCAGCUGCGGUAAUACGGAGGGUGCAAGCGUUACUCGGAAUCACUGGGCGUAACGAGCGCGUAGGCGGGAUAG
rnacentral:rRNA from 1 species